rnacentral:rRNA from 1 species
GAUGAACGCUGGCGGCGUGCCUAAUACUUGCAAGUCGAGCGAACAGACGAGGAGCUUGCUCCUCUGACGUUAGCGGCGGACGGGUGAGUAACACGUGGAUAACCUACCUAUAAGACUGGGAUAACUUCGGGAAACCGGAGCUAAUACCGGAUAAUAUAUUGAACCGCAUGGUUCAAUAGUGAAAGACGGUUUCGCUGUCACUUAUAGAUGGAUCCGCGCCGCAUUAGCUAGUUGGUAAGGUAACGGCUUACCAAGGCAACGAUGCGUAGCCGACCUGAGAGGGUGAUCGGCCACACUGGAACUGAGACACGGUCCAGACUCCUACGGGAGGCAGCAGUAGGGAAUCUUCCGCAAUGGGCGAAAGCCUGACGGAGCAACGCCGCGUGAGUGAUGAAGGUCUUCGGAUCGUAAAACUCUGUUAUUAGGGAAGAACAAAUGUGUAAGUAACUAUGCACGUCUUGACGGUACCUAAUCAGAAAGCCACGGCUAACUACGUG